AGACCCUGAGGAGACUGAGCCCAGCGCCAGGCGACCGGUCCCCGCCGCCGCCGCCCCUGCGCGGGAGAUCCCCCCUGCUUAGUCCGCGCCCGAGCCCCCGUCCGUGGGAACAGACAAGGGGCCUCCGCAGCGCCUCACAACCCCCGACCAGGUCCAGCGGCGGGGGACUCGGCCGUGGAGGGCGCUGUUCGGUCUGGAUGGCUCCCCCCAUCAGCGGGAGGCUACACCCCCCACCAGCAGGGGCAAGAGGAGCAGCGGGAUGGGAGCAGGCCAACGUCCUGCGGCCUGGUUGAGCUCGCACUGACAAUCGCAGGCCCAGUAACCCGCAGGUCACCGCGCUCCCCACCUGCGUUGCUGACGGUGACAUCGUCAGGGGAGGGGGGCGCGCCUUCCCAGAGGCUCAGGUCGCGAGGGUAGCCGGGGUCCGGGCGCGCCGCCGCCUCGUCGUAGCGCCAGUACUGCCGGCCGCGGACCAGGUAGGUCUUCCCGUUCUGUGGCCACGAGAACACGGCGUCCACCUCCUCUCCCGGGGGCAGCCCCAGCUCCGUGAGCGGCCGCGC
ensembl:lncRNA MMP25-AS1 MMP25 antisense RNA 1